rnacentral:rRNA from 1 species
UACGUAGGGCGCGAGCGUUGUCCGGAUUUAUUGGGCGUAAAGAGCUCGUAGGCGGUCUGUCGCGUCGGCUGUGAAAACUCGGGGCUCAACCCCGGGUCUGCAUUCGAUACGGGCUGACUAGAGUUCGGUAGGGGAGACUGGAAUUCCUGGUGUAGCGGUGAAAUGCGCAGAUAUCAGGAGGAACACCGGUGGCGAAGGCGGGUCUCUGGGCCGAUACUGACGCUGAGGAGCGAAAGCGUGGGGAGAGAACAGG